rnacentral:tRNA from 1 species
UCUAAUAUGGCAGAAAAGUGCGGUGGAUUUAAGCUCCACAUAUAAAACCUCAGUUUUUAUUAGAA